ensembl:snRNA U7 U7 small nuclear RNA
UAGUGUUAUGGCUCUUUUAGAAUUUUUCUAGCAGGAUUUCCAAUCUGUACUGGAAAAUCCUCC